rnacentral:lncRNA from 1 species
AUUUUAUUUCUGGGUUCAUUUGCAUUUUAGGGCUUAUUUGUGUUAUUUGUGGGCUUAUUAGGAGUUAUUUUUGUGUAAGGGGGUUUUAUGCAAAUUGUGUAUUUGGGCCCUAUAUAAAAGGGACUAUUUUCAUGAUUAGGGUUUAAUGAAGUAAUUUGGAAUUUCUUCCCCCUACGUUCUUUCUUCUCUUUUUCUCCUCUCCUCCUCUAUUCUUCCUGCGUCUCUACAACCUCUUCUUCCUUCUCCUUCUCUUGUUCUUCCUUCUUC